rnacentral:rRNA from 1 species
GCCUACGGGGGGCAGCAGUGGGGAAUUUUGGACAAUGGGGGCAACCCUGAUCCAGCCAUGCCGCGUGCGGGAAGAAGGCCUUCGGGUUGUAAACCGCUUUUGUCGGGGAAGAAAUCUUCUGGGCUAAUACCCCGGGAGGAUGACGGUACCCGAAGAAUAAGCACCGGCUAACUACGUGCCAGCAGCCGCGGUAAUACGUAGGGUGCAAGCGUUAAUCGGAAUUACUGGGCGUAAAGCGUGCGCAGGCGGUCGCACAAGACAGAUGUGAAAUCCCCGGGCUUAACCUGGGAACUGCAUUUGUGACUGUGUGGCUGGAGUGCGGCAGAGGGGGAUGGAAUUCCGCGUGUAGCAGUGAAAUGCGUAGAUAUGCGGAGGAACACCGAUGGCGAAGGCAAUCCCCUGGGCCUGCACUGACGCUCAUGCACGAAAGCGUGGGGAGCAAACAGGAUUAGAUACCCCGGUAGC